GGGAAUCAAGGCCAAUCGCAGCCCCAUAGGGAGAUAGAGGCCAGCCUAAUAUAUGAGACCUUCUCUUAUGAAUGAAUGAAUGAAUGAAUGAAUGAAUGAAGCACAUAUGAGUGCUGUCCAAGGCCCAGCUUUUUAUUCCCCCCAUCCUUAGGAGGUCUCACAGCAUUCCUCUCCAUGGCCCCAGCUCCCACUGGACUCUCGCCUGGCUAGACUUCCUCUUGACCUUCAAGAGUCUGUCGCAACUCCAAGAUGUUCAGAUAUUCACCAGAGAGCUUCACAUUGUCAUGGGAUCUCUGGCUGCCAUGUCUGCUGCCCCAGUGUUCUGACCCUGAGGGCAAGCCCACCAACCACUUCCUGCCUGGGUGUCUGCUUCCAUGUCACAAGCAGGGCCUGUCUGAGGGAAGCCAAGGAUGGGUGGAGACAGGAUAUGGUACAGUCAGAAACCGACAGCCAUGGGCUGCAUAUGUACUUGAAGUCCUGGAGAAUUCCUGGCAGGUGGUAGCCUAGGCUUUGGCAUCACUAGGUGACAUCUCAAUGAGACAGAAGGGGUUUUCCUGCAGUUCCUGAACCUGCCUAGAGAUGGGACCCAGCACAGAGGAGGACACCCACCUCAGCUACUGCCUGGAGACAGUAUGGACUACACAGUAGCUCAGCCACCUUGUUUUCAAGGCAAUGUCACUAGAUGUCAUCAGCAAGAUGAGACUCCUGUCAGAAGAUCACAAAGGAAGAGCCUUAAAACAAAGCACCAAGCUUCCAGCCCAGGGGCUAUCUGUCCAGCCACUGAUCUGCAGGCUUAGCUCCUAGCCUGACUCUCUCCCUGCACAGGAAGGAUCACUCACAUUAUCUUCUCAGGACCGGAGUCAGAGAUGGGAGAUGGAUUAUUGGAGGUUCUGAACAAAGUCUGGUUCCUCACACUGGAGCAGCCUGCACAGCUUUAAAGCCAAAACUAAGAGACGACAAACCUCCAUAGCAUUAGAAGAGGAGGGAUCCUGCUUCCUGCCUGGUGGUUACAUAUUGAGCCUCAAGGCCUUUCUUGACAUCAUGGAGUAGUGGCCACAACAGACUUUGAAGCCAAACAGCCUGUGUCCGUAUUUGGUUCUGUCACCUACCAACUGGAAACCUGUUGUGAAUGCCGGCUUCCUUGCUUACAAGGGAUAAAUGACAAGAUAGAGCACUAAUAACAUCUCUUCUACUGUUUUCUGCGACCAUGGCAGACAUUACUAGUCAAUCAAGAUAACUCUCGCUGAGCCUCAGAGCCCCUUCUGUGUGUCCAGAACUCCUCAUUGGACAUUUGAGGGGCAACCCUUUUUCCUUCUCCAUCAGCAGCCACAGAACACAGUUCUUAGCACAUACCAUGGAUAAACACCACUACUCAAUCUCUGCUCAGUGCACAAAGUCUUAGUUUCCUCACCCCCAGCAAUGGGGAGCUCUCUCUCACUGCCCAUUUCAUCACUGAGCAGUGCUAAGAAACUUUUCCUCUUAAGUCUCCCUCCUUGCCCCUCCCUAUUCACUUCCAUCAGUGGGUCUAUGGCAGAAAGUUCCCUUCCUCCCAGGGUGUGCUGUCGCUACCGAUUUAGGGGUUUUAUUUUUAGGUGAUACAUUUGAACCUUCUGAUGAGUACAGCCUUCUCUCAGCUUGCCUGUGCUCAAGCCCAGGCUAGCUAAGCAGCUUUAGCAUUCUGAUAGACAUGUGAGAGGCGGGGUGUGUGUGUGUGUGUGUGUGUGUGUGUGUGUGUGUGUGUGUGUGUGUGUGUAUGGAUCAGGACAAACAGAGAGGGGGACGAUAGGAUGACAGAUGAUGUGUUGUAAAGCUUCCUAGCACACCAGGCCAAUGUCACUCCUUACAUAAGCUUAAUAGCUUCUCAGGGGGAUUGGGGCUACAUCCAGGGCCUCAUUGUUAGCUGAUUAAGGCUGAUUAUUCCAAGGGGAGGGGGCCAUGAAGAGGGAUGUGAAGUUAUGUAACUAACCACUUAUUUGGAUUUAAUCUAUGGUUCUAAAUUUAGGAGGUGGAAGGCUUCAAAAAUGAGCUCUUGUCAUUUAAAGGUGGCACUGGCCCUAGGGGUAAGGGGUAUGGGUCCAGCAGGUCGCUGAAGCCAAAGGCUACAGGGGCACUUUUCAUUUAGAGGGGACCUCAAGGUUUUUGUCCUACAGUAUUGCAAAGACUUGCAAGAGAGCAGUGCACCUGACGAGUAGAGGAAGACAGUGUGGUGAUAACGGGUGAAUCAGAAACCAAUGUCCUUCAGGCUGGAGAGCUCUAUAAGAAUCUGGAAGGUAGUGUUUACCCAAGAGAAGGACAUGUGUUCAUGUGUGUGGUCAUCUCCAACUGUACUGUUCCUGUGUCGGGAUGCGUAGCUUUGAUGUUCUAAACAUUUUGCUCAGAGCUGUGGAAAACCACCAGAAGUCAGUGUGUGUGCUCCAAAAGGAGUCCACAGGCACCUCUCAUAGCACAAUUGUGUGUAGGGAUGGAGAGGUAGCUCAGCUGGUGUUCGCUUAGCAUGCAGAAGGUCCUAUGUCCCAGUCCCUUGGUCCCCACACCACUUCUCAAAAAUAUUGUGUAGAGCAUGGUUAUAUACACUCUAGUCCCAAUACUGAGAAGCCUGGAGCAGGAGGAGCAGGAGGAGCACGAGUUUGAGGCCUGUCUAGACCAUGUAUCAAGAACCUGUCUUUUUGUUUUGUUCUGUUUUUCUGAGACAGGGUUUCUCUGUGUAGCCCUGGCUAUCGUGGAACUCAAUCUGUAGACCAGGCUGGCCUCAAAUUCACAGAGAGCCACCUGCCUUGCAUCCCGAGUGCUGGGAAUAAAGGCGUGCGCCUGGUACAAGAACCUGUCUUGACUGAACAAAAAUAGCGGAUUUCCACGGGUAUCACGACAUGUCUGCAGAAGGCUGCACACAGCUCUCUGGCAGUCAUUACCAUAGCACUGUCCUGAUGCUAGAAGUCAAGGCUCUGAGUGACUACAAGCUUCUGCUAAUAACUAUAGAUGCCACAGGGAGCAGUGACCUGCCUCUCAUGUCCACGGCCAUCUGAGUAUAUGUCAACAGCCACCCCGUUAAGAAAGAAGCUGCUGGAAGCUGAGGAGAAAGAGCAGCUGCUGAGGGACUAGAGGUGGCCCAGCGUACUGAGGUUACGAGCACUGGCUGUUCUUUCAGAAGAACUGGGUUCACUUCCCAGCACCUACAUGGCAGCUCAUAUCCAGCUGUAACUCCAGAGAAUCUGGCCUCUGUGGGUACUGCUCACAUGUGGUACACAUGUAGGCACAGCACCCAUACACAUAAAAAUAAAAAUAAAAUAAAAUUUCAAAGAGG
rnacentral:lncRNA from 1 species